rnacentral:rRNA from 1 species
AGAUUGAACGCUGGCGGCAUGCCUUACACAUGCAAGUCGAACGGCAGCACGGGAGCAAUCCUGGUGGCGAGUGGCGAACGGGUGAGUAAUAUAUCGGAACGUGCCCAGUCGUGGGGGAUAACGCAGCGAAAGCUGUGCUAAUACCGCAUACGAUCUAUGGAUGAAAGCGGGGGAUCGCAAGACCUCGCGCGAUUGGAGCCGGCCGAUAUCAGAUUAGCUAGUUGGUAGGGGUAAAGCCUACCAAGGCGACGAUCUGUAGCUGGUCUGAGAGGACGACCAGCCACACUGGAACUGACGACACGGUCCAGACCUCCGUACGGGAGGCAGACGAGGUGGGGUAAUUUUUGGACAAGUGGGCGACGAA